rnacentral:rRNA from 1 species
GAGUUUGAUCAUGGCUCAGGAUGAACGCUAGCGAUAGGCUUAACACAUGCAAGUCGAGGGGCAGCAUGAACUUAGCUUGCUAAGUUUGAUGGCGACCGGCGCACGGGUGCGUAACGCGUAUGCAACUUGCCUUACAGAGGGGGAUAACCCGUUGAAAGACGGACUAAUACCGCAUAUACUUAUUCGGUUGCAUGACCGGGCAAGGAAAUAUUUAUAGCUGUAAGAUAGGCAUGCGUCCCAUUAGCUGGUUGGUGAGGUAACGGCUCACCAAGGCAACGAUGGGUAGGGGAACUGAGAGGUUUAUCCCCCACACUGGUACUGAGACACGGACCAGACUCCUACGGGAGGCAGCAGUGAGGAAUAUUGGUCAAUGGGCGAGAGCCUGAACCAGCCAAGUCGCGUGAAGGAAGACUGUCCUAAGGAUUGUAAACUUCUUUUAUACGGGAAUAACGGGCGAUACGCGUAUUGCUA